CGGUCGGAGCAGCUGGAGCGGAGCCGCCGGCCGCGGCCCGGGGGACGCAUCCCGCAUUUUUUACCUACUUUGGUGCGAUUCCCGCCACCCUCCCCUGAUUGGCCGAGCCCGGUACUUCGGGCCCUCGCGUGAGGGGAAAAAUCUGCACAUUUUUCCUCCUUCCCGAGGCGACCGUGGCCGUGCAGAGUGUUCUGUGAGUCACCGCUAAUUUCAGGUGGUGUUAAUGAUGCUGGUUGAAGACCACACUCCUGGGCUGAGGAGAAAGAACCCGCCUGUAUCCAACUGCAGCUGGAAUUCUAUUUUUCUGUCUACCUAAGACUCCCCCUCCAUCUCUAAGUAUCAGGCUUCCUUUCUAGUCCAAAAAUGAAUAGCACUCAUUUAAGGACACAUGUCUGCCAGCUCCAGCCUCUCUCUUCUGCAUUUCAUCCUCCACUCUGCCACCAGAAUUAUGUCCAAACCUAAGGCUCUGGUCCUGUUGCUUUCCUGCUUAAAAUUUUCUCCUCCCGCCCCCUUGCUUAAAAGUUUCAGUGGCUUCCUCCGAAUCCUCAGCAGUGGCCUUUCUGCCUCUGGCCUAAGCCUACUUUUUCUGCCCUAUCUCCCACAUCUUCCAGGGUGGCCACUGGUCUUCCCAGACUAAACUUCUCAUUCCAAAACACUUGCACUUCCUAACUGCCAUGAUGAUGGGCCUGCUCAUUUCUCAUCCUGGAAUGUUCCUGUCACCUCUCCCAUCUGAAGACUCCACUGACCACAUCCCAAGGGAUCCAUUCUGGUUCCUCCUUCUAUAAUCCUGCAAUUCAUCACUUCUCAAAUCAUAAUAAGUAUCAGUUGAAAAGAACCCAAACUCUGUCAAAUAAUUUAAAGAGGUUUAUUCUGAGCCAAAUUUGUGAGAAAUUACACAUAGAGUCGUAAAUCAGUACAUGGAAGGUAUACAUUGGUUUGACCUGAAAAGGCAGGACAUCUCAAAGCAGGGGAUUACAGGUUAGAGACUUCUGCCUCUCCCACAGCUACUGUAGGACAUGAAAACCUCAGAACUGGCAAAGUGCCCACGCCAGAAGCUGCCAGGAGCAGCAUCAGUUCUCACUCUUCUCCCAGGUAUCCUCUGCAAGCCCAGGUAGACGGAAAUCCUAAGGACAUAUGUAUGAGUCUGCAGAUAAAGAUAGAGGUAAAGAAUGAGACACAAGAGGAAUCCAAGAAAGAAAGGCAGCAAGCUGAAUCCACUCAAGCAGAAGAAACAGCACAAGAAAUUGAAAUGAGCACAGUAACUAUUCUCAGAGAGUGUAUAUAAGAUUACCCAUCUCCUCACAUCCUCGCCAAAACCAGAUAUGGACCUUUGUAAAUUCUGUCAAU